rnacentral:rRNA from 1 species
AUACGGAGGAUCCGAGCGUUAUCCGGAUUUAUUGGGUUUAAAGGGUGCGCAGGCGGCCAUUUAAGUCAGCGGUUAAAUCGUGGGGCUCAACCCCAUUCUGCCGUUGAUACUGGGUGGCUUGAUUGCGGUCGAGGUUGGCGGAAUUCGUUGUGUAACGGUGAAAUGCAUAGAUAUGACGAAGAACACCGAUUGCGUAGGCAGCUGACCAGACCGCAAAUGACGCUCAUGCACGAAAGUGCGGGGAUCGAACAGGAUUAGAUACCCUGGUAGUCCGCACAGUAAACGAUGAAUACUUGUUUUCGGCGAUAUAAUGUCGGAGGCAAAGCGAAAGCGAUAAGUAUUCCACCUGGGGAGUACGCCGGCAACGGUGAAACUCAAAGGAAUUGACGGGG